rnacentral:rRNA from 1 species
UACGGAGGGUGCAAACGUUGCUCGGAAUUAUUGGGCGUAAAGCGCACGUAGGCGGUUCGUUAAGUUGGAUGUGAAAUCCCUGGGCUCAACCUAGGAACUGCAUUUGUGACUGCAUUGCUAGAGUGUGGUAGAGGGAGAUGGAAUUCCGCAUGUAGCAGUGAAAUGCGUAGAUAUGCGGAGGAACACCAAUGGCGAAGGCAAUCUCCUGGACCUGCACUGACGCUCAUGCACGAAAGCGUGGGGAGCAAACAGG